GCGAAUGUGGAUAAUUUGGAGCAUUGUACGAAGUAUUUGAAUCAGACGAUGGUUACAUUUGGAUUUCCCGCCUCGCUUGAUCUCUUUUCCAAUGAUCCGGUUUCUAUCUCAAGGACUUGCAAUUGUAUGUACUCGUUGCUGCAGCAGCGACAACGUGAUAUAGAGUUUAGAGACUCUGCUAAUGAGCUGAGACAGAGACAACAAUCGGAUAUAGCUAGACUUGAAGCUAAAGUUGAGAG